UUAUAUAAAUGAUAAUGUCAUGAACAAUUUAUAGUUUCGGUAAUAUCCGCCAUUUAAUUAACUAUUUUCAAAGAAUUUAAGUAAUAUAUUCACAUUUAACAUUUAGAUACUUGUAAUCAAAAUAACCAGCGAAAUUAUUAUAAAUUAAUAUUUCGCGCGCAAACAGAAACUAAAAUUUUAUCUGAUUGGGGCACCUCCCAGGAUGUUAGAUCUUACAAAGGCUAAAUUAGCGAUUUAUUUCUUACCAACUCCUAAGUGUUCUUUAACUUGCUUCCAUGCCAUUGUCAUUUUAAUUAAAAGCUUAUUAUAACAAGGAUGACCAGUGCUUGGAUGUUAUCACGAUGAUGAGAACACGAAGACCACAAGUACACCACGAAAUAUGUCCUAGCUUAUAGAUAUUCAAAUGUACUGUAUAUUUUUUCACAUCAGAAACCGCGAAAAAUAGAAUUUCUUAAACUGACCCUACCACAUUUGUAGUAAUUUUCAAUAAAUUUAUUCAUAUAAUA